rnacentral:lncRNA from 1 species
GCUGAGUUCUCGAUUCUGCAUAUGUACCACAGGUCAGAGCCAUUGAGUUAACUGGUUGCCUCCCCUUCCUCCCCCUUGCUUUUUCUCAAUUCCUUCAUGUCUUUGUUUCAUCUGUUUUCUAUUUUCCUGGCCCACUGGCUUCUUUCUCUUGAUCCAUACCAUUUUGGUCCUUCAGCUGAAUUUUUUUCUUUGCCUUUGCUCCUUAAGGCUCUAUCAUGUUUCCAUUUGGUUUUCAAAAUUCUCCAGAGAUAACUUUUGUUGUUGCCUCUGCUUAUCCUCAACCCUUGGCAAUCUCACUUUUUUCCUUGCUAACCUACUGAGACUACAGUCAAAGGCCCUGUCCAAGGCCAGUUCUUAGCCUUCAUCAAAUUCAGCUUACAUUCUUCAUAUCCUCUUGUUGUUCACCCUUUUUCUUUGCUACUCUUCUGUUUCUCUGCCUUUUACUGUUCUUUUUUGAUGAUGAUGAUGAUGAUGAUGAUGGGAGCUUAUAUUUAUUGAGCCUUAGUGUAAGUCAGACACUGUUAUAUGUACUUUACAUGUGAGCCUUAGUUUCUAUAAUGUUUUACAUGUGGGUUACAUGAAGACAAAAUGACUUAAUUCAACAACAGUAUAAAGGAUGGUCUGCUAUUAUCCCUGUUCUACAUGUGAAAAAACCAAAGCACGAGAAGCUUAAGGAACUUGUCCAAGUUCACACAGGUUAAGUGGUAGAUCUGGGAUUCCUUUCCAGGUAGUCUAGCUUUCUUUCUGUUACACAGGUAGUGAGUCCUUAUCCAGUUUUAUUCCUGAUCCACUUUUUUUCUCCUCUCACUCCACUUGAUUUUUCAGUGGUCUCUUCCACUCCCAUAGCUUCCCUGGUUGCCUGUCUGGGAUCGAGACUUUUGAUACCAUCUCUAGCCAGACUGUUUUCUUGAGCUCCAUUCUGAUAUUUUCGAUAUUAUGUUGGACUCUUCCAUAUGAAUUUUUCACCAUCUCAUAUUUGACAUGAUUUUGUUAAUCAUCUGCAUUUAUUAAUGACCCUCCUAUUAUUAUUAUGCAUUACUGUGUUUCCUGUCAAGGUUUAACGGCAUCAUUUCUCAGUUAUUUACCCAUGUUUGAAUUCCUCCUUCUUUCUUCACUUGUAACUGUAGUUACUUAAAGUUCUGCCAGUUCUCCUUCUCUAAUGUUUAGUAUGCUGCUCUGUUUCCUUCUCAUACCUGCUUUUCUGGGUCCUCAUCAAGGACGUCCUGACUUGUCUCCUUGUUUUUAGCCUUUUCUGUCUCUAAUCUGCAUCUUUCAGGUAACCUGAAGAGUUAAUGUUUCUUAAAAGUUAAGGUCUCAAUAUUCCUGGGUUCAGAAACUGAACUCCAUUUUAUUUAGAAAAGUAGAAACUUCUCAGCAUGCCGUUUAAAUUUUUCUCUUUGUUGCAUAUUCAGAUACUUCAGUGU